CCGUUGUGUGAUGUGAUUUAGGAUUUAAGUUUGCUGGCAGACCCUAGCUUCUUAUCAUUCCAGGACUCAAUCAAUUGAGAUGAGGUUGAUAGGACACUGGGCUCACUGUAAUUCGCAAGAAUUGCAGAGAUGUUCAGCAGAACCUUGACAACUGCAUAGGUAAGUCUGGAAAGAAUAAAGCAUCUCAUGGAUGCAUGAUUCUUGGGAAUCAGCUGAUGCAAUCUGCGCGAGCAGAGAGCUGAGGUUGAUGAAAGAGAAUGAUGUUUGAUUCUUGAGUCAAGAGCCGAGACUCUAUAGCGUUCUUUCGAUGUCAUCGAGGCAUCGAGAGUUUGAUUGGUGAUUCAAACCAUUUUCAAUGACAAACAAUUCAGUUUAACU
rnacentral:misc_RNA from 1 species